rnacentral:miRNA from 1 species
CAUCUUAUAGAUUGGUGCAAAAGUAAUUGCGGUUUUUGCCAUUAAAGGCAGUAGCAAAAACCACAAUUACUUUUGCAUCAGCCUAAUA